AAGCCCCAGUAAACGGCGGCCGUAACUAUAACGGUCCUAAGGUAGCGAAAUUCCUUGUCGGGUAAGUUCCGACCCGCACGAAAGGCGUAAUGAUUUGGGCACUGUCUCGACAAUGCACCCGGUGAAAUUGAAAUACCAGUGAAGAUGCUGGUUACCUGCGCCAGGACGGAAAGACCCCAUGGAGCUUUACUCCAGUUUGGUACUGGGACUCGGUAUUGCAUGUACAGGAUAGGUGGGAGGCUUGGAGACAGUAACGCCAGUUAUUGUGGAGCCGCUGUUGGGAUACCACCCUUGCAGUAUUGGGUUUCUAACCAGCCGCCGUGACCCGGCGGUGGGACAAUGCCAGACGGGGAGUUUGACUGGGGCGGUCGCCUCCGAAAGGGUAUCGGAGGCGCCCAAAGGUUCCCUCAGAAUGGACGGAAACCAUUCGAAGAGUGCAAAGGCAGAAGGGAGCUUGACUGCGACACCGACGGGUGGAGCAGGUACGAAAGUAGGACUUAGUGAUCCGGUGGUAUGAAAGUGGGAUUGCCAUCGCUCAACGGAUAAAAGCUACCCUGGGGAUAACAGGCUUAUCACUCCCAAGAGUUCACAUCGACGGAGUGGUUUGGCACCUCGAUGUCGGCUCAUCGCAUCCUGGGGCUGUAGUAGGUCCCAAGGGUUGGGCUGUUCGCCCAUUAAAGCGGUACGCGAGCUGGGUUCAGAACGUCGUGAGACAGUUCGGUCCCUAUCCGGCGUGGGCGUAGGAUAUCUGAGAGGAGCUGUCCUUAGUACGAGAGGACCGGGAUGGACGGGCCGCUGGUGCAUCGGUUAGACUGCCAAGUCUACGGCCGAGUAGCCAAGCCCGGAAGGGAUAAACGCUGAAGGCAUCUAAGCGUGAAGCCCCCCUUAAGAUGAGAUAUCCCAUUCGUUAAGAAGUAAACCCCCUUGAAGACGACGAGGUAGAUAGGGCAGAGGUGGAAGUGCAGUAAUGCAUGGAGCUGACUGUUACUAAUCGGGUGAGGGCUUGACCAA
rnacentral:rRNA from 1 species